AACGAACGCUGGCGGCAUGCCUAACACAUGCAAGUCGAACGAAACCUUCGGGUCUUGUGGCGCACGGGUGCGUAACGCGUGGGAACCUUCCCUUAGGUUCGGAAUAACUCCCCGAAAGGGGUGCUAAUACCGGAUAAUGUCUUCGGACCAAAGAUUUAUCGCCUUUGGAUGUUCCCGCGUUGGAUUAGCUAGUUGGUAGGGUAAAAGCCUACCAAGGCGACGAUCCAUAGCUGGUCUGAGAGGAUGAUCAGCCACACUGGGACUGAGACACGGCCCAGACUCCUACGGGAGGCAGCAGUGGGGAAUAUUGGACAAUGGGCGAAAGCCUGAUCCAGCAAUGCCGCGUGAGUGAUGAAGGCCUUAGGGUUGUAAAGCUCUUUUAACCGGGAUGAUAAUGACAGUACCGGGAGAAUAAGCUCCGGCUAACUCCGUG
rnacentral:rRNA from 1 species